GGAUGUGAGGGUGAUCUGGCUGUGACAUCUGUCACCUCAUUGAUCGCCAGGGUUGAUUCAGCUGAUCUGGCUGGCUAGGCGGGUGUUGCCUUCCUCCCUCACCACUCCAUGUGCGUUCCUCCUGAAGCUGCACGCUCCAUAGAAGAGGAAGGCCUUUCCCCAAAUAGAGACGGACCGGUUUUCAGUCGAGGGUAUAUGAGUAGCUGCACUCCCCUGCUAGAACAACCAAACAAGCUCCCAAGGUCCAACUCUAACAGUUCAAUAGAUUUGUUACUCUGAAAAUUCUUAUACUGCACAUUAGUAUAUUAUAUAAAAUAUU
rnacentral:snRNA from 1 species